rnacentral:lncRNA from 1 species
GUGCAUUCAACCUCAUAUACCCCAACUAGCUGUGAUCGGAUUCUCUGAGAGUGUGUCGAAUUUGUACACCUCAGAGAUAAGAUGCCGAUGGCUAGCAGAACUUCUUGAUGGCACAUUCAAGCUGCCUAGCAUCAAAGAGAUGGAAAAAGAUGUGACAAAAUGGGAUGAAUACCUGAAACGAUACUCGGGUGAAUACUAUCGUAGGAAAUGCAUUGGUGCUCUUCAUGUUUGGUAUAAUGAUCAACUCUGCAAAGAUAUGGGAUGGAACCCCAGGCGGAAGAAGGGAUUCUUUGCUGAACUUUUUGAGCCUUAUGGUCCCUUGGAUUAUGUCCCCUCUUCAGCUGCCUCUUAGCCAUGGGUUUUCUCAUCUUUCAUCAUCUUGUUUUAUGAAUUUCAUUCCUGCUUGUCCCCCAUUUUCAACAGAAUGAGUUUGUUUUGCUUCAUGAUACUUAAUACGAAGCACGGUGUAAGAAUAAUUGAUUUCUUAUUUUGGGUAAUAAUAAGAAUAAGAAAUAUUAAUACUAUUUUAUUUAAAUUAUAUUUAUUAAAAAGGUUAUAUAUUUUUUAAAUUGAGAAUUUCUUCACUUAUUGUCAAUUGAUUUUAAUUUAGACUUGUUUUACUCUUUUUUCUAGUAAUUUUUUUUCGUUGAUUCAUGUUACGUAAUUAUAAGUUGGUGAUUUUCACAUGUAAUAAAAGUAUUGAAUUUAUCACAAUUUUAUAUUUCUUGAAUUAAGAGUAUUUUUAAUAUAUAAAUAUGAUAAAUCUUGUCAAAUAUUAUUAAUAAAUUUUAAAUAAGAUAUUCGGAAAAAAAUUAAAAAAAGAUAGGGAAUAUUCAAUGAAUAUUUCCCACCAGGGAACCGGUACCUACUAUCGAAGGCCAUAAAUCACAUUGAACCGAUGAGGCCCAAUGAGAAUUUCUCGAACGAGAACCAUGCCUAGGGAGACGUAUGCUUGUUUGCUUGUCUUUACCUCAAUACGCCUUUUUAGCCAUAACAUUUGCAUGGGUUUAUUAUACCUAGUCUAUUUUUGGUUUCCAUCGGUGGAAAAGACUUGAGUUCUAGUUAUAGUAAGUCUAGCAGCUGUCUAUUACUAUGUCAGAAGGAAAGAUGAGCUAAGAAGAAUCAAAUGAAAAGACCAGCUUCUAUUAUGGAGCAGAAUGGUCCAGCCAACCAGGCACAGAAAAUGGGAGACGAGGAUUCACGUGAAGGGUGUUUAUUUAUUUGCUUGAAUCUUUUCUAAUGAUUAAUCAAUCACUCGGUUCAAGUGACAAACCUACCUUACGUAUCAACUAAGUAGUCAUGGUUUCAAGAAUUUCUUUGAUGGGAGAAAACUAGUUGAGUGUACCAAGUUUCAGUGUCCGAACAUGUUGAUCAAAUGGAGAAGCAAAUAGCCAUCAUCGGAGCUGGUAUUAGCGGCCUCCUCGCAUGCAAGUACACCCUCUCAAAGGGUUUCCAUCCGACAGUUUUCGAGUCCCAAAGCAGCAUCGGAGGAGUUCGGACCACAGCACUUGAGAGGACAAAACUUCAGACCUCAAAACAAUUUUAUCAGUUCUCAGAUUUUCCAUGGCAAUCUUCAGUCGCAGAAGAGUUCCCUAGCUAGCAUCAAGUGCUGGAGUAUAUUGAAGCUUAUGCCCAUCAUUUUGACUUGCUUCGGCAUGUCAGAUUCAAUGCCAAAGUCGUUAGCAUUGACUUCGAAGGGCCAACGGAUGAAGAGAUGCGAUCUUGGCAUCUCUGGGGUGGGACUGAUGAGCCCUUCAGCUCCAAAGGAAAGUGGAAUGUUGUAGUACAGGACACCCAGAAUCAUUCUACAGAGGUAUGUAAUUAAGUUUAUAAUCAUAAAGCUCAACAAGAACAAAGUGAACGAGAAGAAAAGAUAAUGUCCUGACUUGGAUGAAUUUUCUUUUAAAUGUGAAAUUCAGGUUUACCAGGUGGACUUUGUAGUCCUUGGCCUAGGCCGGUUCAGCGGCAUUCCAAACAUUCCAUCGUUUCCUCCAGGAAAAGGGCCAGAAACCUUUCACGGUGAGGAAAUACACUCCAUGGAUUAUGCUGCCAUGGAUUACAAACUUGCUGCUAAAUGCAACAAAGGGAAGCGAAUUGUUGUCGUUGGACUCCAGAAAUCUGCCUUGGACAUCGCAAUGGAAUGUUCUACAGCAAAUGGUAAGAUUACAAAAUUUCUUUAGUUCUAAGAUGUAUGCAAAACUCACAGGCUGGAUUUUCUGACAUGAAGUUUCAAUCUAUCCUGUUUCCAGGCGUAGAACUUCCUUGUACAGUAUUAUACAAGACCGAACGUUGGGGCGUCCCCAAUUACCUUCCAUGGGGAAUGCCGCUAGCUUAUUUAUACCUCAAUCGCUUCUCAGAGCUUUUGGUUCAUAAGCCUGGUGAAGGCUUCCUCCUUAGUUCAUUGGCAACAAUUCUUUCACCUCUGGUAACUAAUAAAAUUUCUUAUCUAAAGCACAUCUUGAGCACCUUCAGGAAAUUAACUGCAGCAGACUGAAAUCGGUUCUAUUAACUGCAGCGAACUGAAAUCGGUUCUUUGCUAUUAAACAGAGAUGGGUAUUCUCAAAAUUCGUCGAGAGUUAUAUCAAAUGGAAACCUGCCUUUGGCAAAGUUUGCGAUGGUACCAAAGCACAGCUUUCAUAAAGAAAUUAGCUCCUGUUUGACCUCAACAGUGCCAAAAAACUUCUAUGACAGAGUUGAGGAAGGAAGCAUCUUACCGAAGAAGACCCAAAAUAUAAGCUUCAUGAAGAAGGAUAAUGGUAGAUGACGAAGAUUCACCUCUAAAGACAGAUUUGGUGAUACUGGCUACUGGAUUCAGGAGAGAUAAAAAGCUUAGAGACAUUUUUGCGUCCCCCACUUUUCGAGACUGCAUGGCUGGCUCACCUGAAGCAAGAGUUCCAAUCUACGGGUUGAGAAUCUUAACCAGCUACAUGUUCAAACCAUAGUUUCAUCAAAUUAAACCAGUAACCAGAAAAAGAAUAAAGACUAUGAGAACUAACUCAUAUCUCUUCAAACAAGAUGGAUUUCUAGGAGCAAUGAAGCUUGAUGAUAGGAAAAUGGCAAGAAAAAGGCUCACGGGGUACUAAGAGAAAUGGAGUAGCCAAGCACUUUUCCCUCAAGGGUGGUGGACAAGACACAGUGAAAAUGAGCUUCCAUCCCCCUUUUUCUUUGUUAUGGGAGAUCUCUUGAGGCAAGAGCCUUGAAAUGGCUUUCAUUUCCCAUUUUUUCAUGCAUGGGCGGAUUGGCCAAUGUCACCGUCCUUUUCUAUUUUUUUUAAUCACAUGUCAUUCUAUGUAAUUUCUUAUUUUGUUAUUAACGUUGCUUUUCAAUGGUGGCACGUGCAUGCAAUGUUUCAUUAUCCAUUCUUUUAUCUUUGAUUAGACUGCCUUGCCUAUGCAUUGGUCCACAUGAUAUUUUUUUUGUUUAUUUCAUUUUCAUUUCAUUUUACAUGCAUUUCAUUUUCAUUUCCUUUUAAUGUCACUUUAUCAUCAAAUAAUAUUUCAUACAUAUUUCCUUUGCUAAUAGCCUUUGCCACCCCAUGCACCAAUAAAAUUUCAUGCAUUUAUUUCUUAUUUGGCCUCCCUCACAACCAAUAGAAUUUCAUGCACUCUUUAAUUUAUUUCUUUUAUUCUUAAUCCUUUUUCUACUAGCAUGUGUACCUACUCAAAUUUCAUGCAUGUCUUUUUUUUAAUAAAAUAUUAUUUAAUUUUUUUCUCUUUGUCAUCUUUUAUAUGAUGGGGGUCUCAUAUGUCCCUCACUAAACUUUAUCUUUACGUACAAUUAUUUAUAUGUAACUGUAACUUCACAUUAUAGGAAUCUUAUAUGUCUUUCAUUAAAAAUUAUCUUUUAGAGGGAAAAAAGUCUGAUGGUUCUAGAACUACUUAAAAGUAUUAUGGUCACCGACAAGAUUAAAAGAAAUUUUUCUUAAUUAACCAUGCAUGUGUGCAUGACUUAUUUUAUUAUAUAUUAAAAUACCCAUUUAAUGAUUCUUAACAGGGGUACUUAACAUUUGCCUUGCUAGUAUCAGUAGCUAGCACUACUGGCACUGCUCCAGAGCAGAGUUAUUUAAUAUUUUAUUAACCAAAAAUCAAAGUUAAAGUUCUGCAUUGAAUAAAGUGAUUAAAGGAAAGUAGAUUCAAUUGACCUUGGAUCUUGCAAAAUAAAAAAAUCGAUUUCUUUUCCAAUGCAAGAUUCACUGAAGGACACAAAAGGAAUUAUGCUAGAAAGAAUUACCACUAAUAAUCUGAGUUAUAUAUUUCAAUGCAUAGAAAGUAAUAAAAUAUAUAUUUAUAUAUAUAUACUAAGUAGUGUGUGUAUAUAUAUAUAUAAUACUAUUUAUAAUGAAAAUGACGGAUGCAGCCCCAGUUAUGCUCCUGUUGGUGACUUUAUCUUCUAUUUUUUAAUGGCAAAAAGGGGUUAAUCAAAAUCAAGAAGAUCAAAGACUUGGAGCACCAGUUUGAGGGGGAUGAUAGUUUAUUUAUUUGAUUCCUGAGGAUCUUAGGCAGAGUGCUAUAUAGAGAGAGAGGCAAAAAGGCAGGCUAUAUCGAUAGAGUAUCAGACAAUUUGGCAAUGGAGAGGCAGGUGGCAAUCGUUGGAGCUGGAAUAAGUGGCCUCCUUGCCUGUAAGUACACCUUGUCGAAAGGUUUCCAUCCAGUUGUUUUCGAGUCCCAAAGGAGCGUUGGAGGGGUAUGGACCCAAACGCUGGAGACUACAAGGCUCCAAACCCCCAAGUCAGUUUAUCAGUUCUCAGAUUUUCCUUGGCCAUCUUCAGUCACAGAUGAUUUCCCUACCCAACACGAUGUCUUCGAUUAUGUUAAGGCGUAUGCACAACAUUUUGACUUGCUUAAGCACAUCAAAUUCAACACCAAAGUUGCUGGUAUUGAGUACGAAGGCCCCCCUGAUGAAGAGAUGCGAUCUUGGAGUUUAUGGGGUGGCACUGGUGAGCCCUUUAGCUCCAAAGGGAAAUGGAAGGUCAUCGUGGAAGACUUGGAAAGCCUUUCAACUGAGGUAUUUCUCAUCAUAAUUCAGAGGAUAAAUAGUGAUUUAUAUGACAAAAAAAAAGUUAUCAUAAUUCCGAGACUUGUGAAAUUCAUUGCAGAUUUACCUAGUGGACUUUGUAAUCAUUUGUGUGGGGCGGUUCAGUGGUCUGCCAAACAUUCCAGAAUUCCCCCCAAACAAGGGCCCGGAAGCAUUUCGUGGUAAGGUAAUACAUUCCAUGGACUAUGCUGCCAUGGAUAAUGAAAAGGCUGCUGAGUUCAUCAAAGGCAAACGAGUCAUUGUCGUUGGGUUCCAGAAAUCUGCUUUGGACAUUGCAAUGGAGUGCACUUUUGCAAAUGGUAAUUAGAAUUUAAUCUGAACUGCUGGAAUUCAUAGUUCUUUCUACAUUAGACCAAGUAAAGUUUGCUCUUACCUCUUCGAGAACCGAUAAAUUUUGUGGACUUCAUAUGGAAAGGAACUUGUGAUCAUGUCUCAAUGUGUUUGGUGUCGUUACAAGGAAAUAAAAUUUCUUUAAAUUUCAUUAGUUUUCAGGGGUGGAAAAUCCAUGCACAGUUUUCUACAGGACUGCACACUGGAAUGUCCCUGAUUACCUUCCCUGGGGGAUUCCACUUGGAUAUAUGUAUCUUAACCGAUUCUCAGAGCUUAUGGUUCAUAAGCCUGGUGAAGGGCUUCUACUUGGUCUCUUAGCUACAAUUCUGGCACCGGUGGUAACAUUGCUCUUCAUUCUUUACACCUUGCUAUGUUCUGUUUUACUUUUUAUCAAUGAGCAAUGUGCUUGCUCAGAAGCAAACGACAGUUUAUCUGUGAUUUCUAUAUUUGGAUGGAACCUGCAAAUAUCAGAUGACACCAUCCAUUUAUUUUCUUCACUCCUAUUGUUUCUUCCACUGAUUACUUGUAAUUAUUUGACAGAGAUGGUCAUAUUCAAAAUUUGUUGAAAGUGAUAUCAAAAGGAAGCUACGUUUAGCAAAGCAUGGCAUGGUACCCACACAUAACUUCCUCCAUGAAAUCAGUUCUUGCUUAAUCUCAACGGUCCCAGAAAAAUUCUAUGACAAAGUUGAAGAAGGAAAAAUCAAACUGAAAAAGGCUCCCAGCUUUAGUUUCUGUCACAAUGGCGUUCUGGUGGAAGGUGAGACUACACCUGUUGAGGCAGACGUGGUCAUCUUGGCCACUGGAUUCAAGGGGGAGAAAAAGCUCAGAGACAUUUUCGUGUCCCAAACCUUUCAGGACUACAUAGCUGGAUCACCUGAUGCUGCAAUUCCACUCUACAGGUUAAUUUUUUUUCUUUAGGCAGUCAAGGAACGAUUGUUCCGUAAUUACUUAGAUCAAUUCUAAUUAAAUUUCUUGUUUGAUCACUGAUCAGGGAGUGCAUUCAACCUCAUAUACCCCAACUAGCCGUGAUCGGAUUCUCUGAGAGUGUGUCGAAUUUGUACACCUCAGAGAUAAGAUGCCGAUGGCUAGCAGAACUUCUUGAUGGCACAUUCAAGCUGCCUAGCAUCAAAGAGAUGGAAAAAGAUGUGACAAAAUGGGAUGAAUACCUGAAACGAUACUCGGGUGAAUACUAUCGUAGGAAAUGCAUUGGUGCUCUUCAUGUUUGGUAUAAUGAUCAACUCUGCAAAGAUAUGGGAUGGAACCCCAGGCGGAAGAAGGGAUUCUUUGCUGAACUUUUUGAGCCUUAUGGUCCCUUGGAUUAUGUCCCCUUUUCAGCUGCCUCUUAGCCAUGGGUUUUCUCAUCUUUCAUCAUCUUGUUUUAUGAAUUUCAUUCGUGUUUGUCCCCCUCUUUCAACGGAAUGAGUUUGGUUUUGCUUCAUGAUACUUAAGGUAGCGUUUGGUACUUUACAAUACAAUAUGAUUACAAGUAACGUGAUUGUAUGUAAUGUGAUUGCAAGUAAUAUGAUUACAAGCAAUGUGAUUGCAGAGAAGAUAACAUUGCAGUGUUUGGUAUAUAAGUAAUGUAAUGAUUAAAAUACAGAGAGAUAAUGUUGCAGUGUUUGUUUUAUAAGUAUUUUAUAAGGUAUGUAAUGUUGAUUUUUUAAAACUAUCCUUAUAUAUUCAAAUACAAGUUUAACAUGUAUAUUUUAUUGUUAAAUUUUAUAUAAUGUCAUUUUUAAAUAUAUUUUUAAUUAAAUAUAUUUUUUUUCAUUUCUUGUUACAAGUAUAUAUUUUAUUUUUAAUAUAAUUUUUUAUAUUGUAUAUUUUAUUUUAAAUUUUUUUUAGAAGAUAAUAUUUUAUUUUUAUUUCUUAAUACGUUUUAUAUGUAUACAUUAAUGUGAUAGUUUCCUCUCUCGUAACCAAUAGCAAAUUGGCAAUUAAAUACCCAUAAUUCUCAAUCUCUAAUUAAUUUCUUUUGAAAAUAUCAUAAAUUCAAAAUAACUUGCUAUCAAGCUAAAACAAAAUAUCAAGCAUAACAUCACCAAAACAAUAUAACUGAAAAUCAUAAAUAAAGUUCCUUGAUUGAUGCUCUAAACCAAAAGUCAUAAAGUUCUAAUAAACCAAAAUUGAAGUCACCUAAAAGAUAGACACACCAUUGUUAAAAUACAAAAGAGUUCAAAGUUAAUAACACUGUUAAAGUUCACCAUAAAUUGAUAACUAGUUCUUUGCAAUAACAAUACCCAUCAUUUAGAUAGAGCCACUAAGCAAAGCCUUCACAUAAAUUUUCUGCAACUCCUCUGACAAUGAAAAUAGAUAAUUUAUUUUCCACAUAUCACUAGAGAUGAUAUGUCCAGCGUUAACAAUUUCUUCAGGAGUCAAACCUUCAACUCCCUGAACUAUCUCAACUACACACUUUUUCAACCUCGCAUCUUCAGCCAUGAAUUGAAAACAGCUUGCUAAUUUAUCAAUUCCUUCCCUUGCACCUUAACAGAUUUCUCCAAUUUUAUCCACACUAGAUUGGAAUGCAUGAACAAUGUUGUCACCAUUACUUUUUGUCUUAGUUUUUUUGUGACUCACCUCUCUGUCACCUUGCUUUAUAGUCCUUCUUCUAGCAGCAGUGGAUCCCUCACUAUUGGUAGCUUGAGUAGGAGAAACAUCAUCAUCACCAUUGUCAUUUUCAUCAACAUUCAAUGCACUGAAAGCUUCUGAAGCUACCCUUGUUGUUGUAAAUGCAACUUCCUUAGUUUCUAUGUUCUCCACUACAUCAACUGGUGACUCCGCUCUUUCCCCAGUUGCUCUAUCCUUCCCAAAUAUAAUGGCUAAUGGAUCAAAGUGAGGGAAAGGCUUGUUUCUAAGUCCUGCAGUAGCUGGGUGACUCUAUAUAUAUAACCAUAUACAAAGCAUCAAAAAACCAUGCAAAACAAAUAUAUGCCUACUUUAGAAUAUAAUAAUGUUGUAAAAUAAAUUAGAAUCAUUAUCUUAACCUAACCAAUCCAAACAUCAUCAUCACAAGUAACACAUUUCUUGACAUCAUCCCAACCGAAUCCAGAAGCGGAAUGCGAUAUCAUCUCAACAAUUUCCCUAUAUUGUGUCUUCAACAACCUCAUUCUAGAGUUAAUAUGGGGGAUAGCCUUUAUGUUGCAAUUUGAGAUCUUUUCUUUCAUCCAUUUCUCAAGUUGUUGCAAGUAACCAGGCUUGAAUGUUCCAUUAUCUCUACCCCAACUUUCUUCAUUCAUAAGAUCAAUGCAGCAGUCAAUUAAGACUCCAUCUUCAGUAGGUGUCCACUGAUGGGUGGAUCUUUUGCUUGCCCUUCUUAAUCCUUGAGAUGAUGCAACUUCCAUCUACAAGUAUAAAACAUAAUAUAGAAACAGUAUAAUAACAAAUAUAUAGUAUACAAUAGUUAAUUAAAAAUUAAAGAAGAAACAUAACUUAUCUAAUUAAGAACAAAUACAAAUAUGUCUCAAUCAACACAAAUUUGAGUUAUUACAAAUAAAGCAUACAACAUUUGUUGAACCAAAUAAAAAAUUAAGUUUCAUUUGUAGAAGCUAUCCAAUCAUUCCACAUUUCUUGUGCCAAGUUAUUUCUCCAAGUAGUCCAUGCAUUUGAUGUCUCAAUGUAUUGGAUCGUAUCUGCAUUUUCCAUCACUUCUGAUUCCAUAUACUCUUCAUCCAUUUCAUUCUCAAAUGGAUCAUGUGUCAUUUCUCUCUUAAUGUGAUUGUGUAACAAUGCACAAACAGAGAUAAUUCUACAUUUUGUUUUCACUGGGUACCAAGACUUCUCUUUAAGUAUUGCCCAUCUCAUCUUAAGGAAUCCAAAACAUCUCUUAAUAACAUUCUUAGCACCAAAGUAUUUUUAAUUAAACAGUUCUUUUUUUAAACGAGGAGUGCGAUUUUGUCUCCAUUCAUUCAAAUGAUAACGUUGACCUCUAUAUGGAGUUAAAAACUCCUCUCUAUUUGUAUACCCAACAUCACAUAAGUAGAAAAAACCUAUGAUAAAAAAUUUAUUUUUAGUCCAUCACUCUAAAAUAGUUAAUAAUUGAAUGUAUAUUUUCCUCAUACCUUUUAGGACUUUCAAUCCAUUUUUUCUAGAUAUUGCAUCUCGAAGAACCCUAGAGUCUGAAAGAGAACCCUCCCAUCCAGGUAAGAUAUAUAUGAAUUGCAUAUCCUGUGAACAUACCCUUAACACAUUUGUAGCAAUUUCAUUCUUCCUUGUUCUGUAUCUAGGCUUAUCAAUUUCCAAGGCAUUGACUUUAAUGUAAGUUCCAUCUAAAGCACCUAAACAAUUUUAUUAUUUCCAAUAGAAUAAUGACAAAAAUUAUCCUUUAGUUGCAUUUUUAAUAGAUUCUUAUACUCAAGCUGUAAAUGUUUAAGAAAUUUUAGUUUACCUUAAACCAUUUCCAUCUGAAGUCAGUUGAAUACUCGGGUACAGGCUCUGGCUUCUUUAGCAGUAUUGAUUGCAAUCUUAAAACAGAAUUCAAAACUAAACCAAAAUGCCUACUCACUGUCUCACCACUUCUAACAAAUUCUCUCUUAUGAUCCUAUUCUUUGCAUGAUGAGAAAUGAUGUACAAAAAGAUAGCUACCAUUUCCUCAGCAUUCAUAUUUUUUGUUGGUGUAAGCCUACCAAUGCAUUGAAGCAUAUUACAUAAUUUAUACAAUGCAACUCUAUCCAUUCUAAUAUUUUCAAUGCAUGUUAAAUCAGAAUCAAAUACCAUUCUCCUAAAAUUCAAUUGCCUAACAAUAUGUCUCCUAUAAGUAUUAGUUUUGGAUCUUUUACGCUUUCUAGUAUACAUUAAAAUAUGAUAACAUCCUUGAACCAAAGUGUUAGCUAAAAGUAUCAUGUUGAACAGCUCAAUGGCUAAUACAAUAGCAGACACGAUCGUUGCAAUUUGCUCUUGAGAAAACCCUUCCAUUGUGUGAACUAACAAUAUAAAAAAAUAAUUAAUAUAAUGAAAUAUAAAUAUUAUAUAAAAACAGCAUAUAGUAAGCAUAAAGUUAACUUUUCAUGUCCACCUUACAAAUAUUCAAUUUAUUCAAUUUAUAUAAAAACAUUAUAUAAAUACAUAUUCAUUAUUUUUAAGUUAACUUUUUGCACUCUUUUCUUGCACCCUAAAAUCUAAAAAAAAAUUACAAUGGUUUUCUACUGUCAAGACCAAUUUUACCCUAAACAAAAUAAAAAAAUGGGAGGUCAAAUCUUAAAAAAAAAAAGGCAAAAAAAGAGUAAAAAUUCAAAUUCAGUGUUAAAAUGAGGUUUUUUGGGGUCAAAACGGUGUCAAACUGCCUUCUGCCAUUUGUCAACGCAUAGAUCUCGAAAAGUUACAUGGAUUCAAAAAAAAAUCACCCCGAUCAGACAACCGAGCGCAAAGUUACGACUUUUUGAAGUUGAGUAGGGGAAGAGAUUCCUAUAUAAACCAACGGGGCAUUUUGAAAGAUAAGAUGUUUUCACUAUGUACAGAAACAUGUGACACGUCAUGUACAGAAAUAUGUGACACGUCAUGUAUAGAAAUAUAUGACAUGCCAUGUAAAAGAACAUGUGACACGCCAUAUACAGAAACAUGUGACACGUCAUGUAAAAGAACAUGUGACACGCCAUAUACAGAAACAUGUGACACGCCAUGUACAAAAACAUGUAACACGCCAUGUACAGAAAUAUGUGACACGUCAUGUACAGAAACAUGUGACACGUCAUGUACAGAAAUAUGUGACACGUCAUAUAUAGAAACAUGUGACAUGUCAUAUACAAAAACAUGUGACACGUCAUAUACAAAAACAUGUGACAAGUCAUGGUUAGGUUGUUACACGUCAUGUUGAAAAAAAAUAUUGUUAUUACACGUCAUGUAUAAAAACAUGUUACACACCAUAGUUAAAAAAGGUUAUUACACGCAAUAUUGGAAAAAAAAUAUUGUUGUUACACGCCAUAUUGAAAAAAUAUUGUUGUUACACGCCAUAUUGAAAAAAUAUUGUUGUUACACGCUAUGUUGAAAAAAUAUUGUUGCUACACGACAUAUUCAAAAAUAUUUUAUUACACGUUAAUGCUAAGUACGAGUUCUAUUCAAAGCCAAGAUCCAUGGAUUUGGCAAUGCUAGGUACGAGUUCUGCUGCUUUCAGCAUUUCUAAUUGGAUAAAAGUUCUAAUUAGAUGGAACUUAAAAACUAUUUGAUUACCCAUAUUUUGUUGAGGGAAUAAAAACCAAAAAUUGCAACACCAAAAAUUACAACCAAACACGCAGCAUUUUAUUUCAUCACAAUUACCUGUGCCUUUUGUUGAAAAUUAACUCAGAAAUCCAACCUCUCUUGCCGAUCAAGGGCCAAAUUGUUUCAGCUAUAAACCCUAAAAUACAAAUAAGAAGAAAACUCAAAUUAACACAAAAAAGUCAUAUUAAAGAGUACAAGAAAAAGAUAAAAAAAAAAAAAGAGAAAGAAAAAGAAGAAUGAGAAAUUUUAACCAACAAUUUCAGAUGAUGAAGUAGCAGAGCUAGAAGAAGGAUGAGCGACUUUAGCAAAAUGAAGAAGAAGCAGCAGAAACUCCAAAAAUGACGAUUUUGCUUCUAGUUUUUGAGUAAUUUUUUUAAAAGAUGAUAGGUAAAAAUGUCUUUAAAGAUAUUACAGACUGUAAUAUAAUAUGAUUGCAUUGGUUUUGGACUGCAAUCACAUUACAUCAAUUGGCUGCAAUGUGAUUGCAUUACAAUCUUACAUUGCAGUGGUCUGUUACAAAACAAACACUGCAAUAUAAUUUAAUUGAGCAUAUUGCAGAGAAUGUGACUUUACAUCCUUUAUACCAAACGCAACCUUAAUACGAAACACGAUGUAAGAAUAAUUGAUUUUUUAUUUUGGGUAAUAAUAAGAAUAAGAAAUAUUAAUACUAUUUUAUUUAAAUUAUAUUUAUUAAAAGGGUAAUAUGUCUUUUAAAUUGAGGAUUGCUUCACAUUGAUUUUAAUUUAAACUUGUUUUACUUUUUCUUUUAUUAAUUUAUUUUUCUUUGAUUCAUGUCACGUGAUAAGUUCGUAAUUCUUACAUGUAAUAAAAAUAUUAAAAUUAUCACAAUUUCACAUUUCUUAAAUUAAGAAUAUCUUUAAUAUAUAAAUAUAAUAAAUCUUUUCAAAUAUUAUUAAUAAAUUUUAAAUAAGAUAUUCGGAAAAAAAUUAAAAAAAAUAGGGAAUAUCCAAUAAAUAUUUCCCACCAGCGAACCGGUAGCUAUUAUCGAAGGCCAUAAAUAUCUCGAACCGAAGAGGCCCAAUGAGAAUAUCUCGAACCGAGAACCAUGCCCAGGGAGACAUAUGCUUGUUUGUUUGUCUUUACCUCAAUACGCCUUUUUAGCCAUAACAUUUGCAUGGGUUUAUUAAAUCUAGUCUAUUUUUGGUUUCCAUCGGUGGAAAAGACUUGAGCUCUAGUUAUAGUAAGUCUAGCGGCUGUCUAUUACUAUGUCAGAAGGAAAGAUGAGCUAAGAAGAAUCAAAUGAAAAGACCAGCUUCUAUUAUGGAGCAGAAUGGCCCAGCCAACCAGGCACAGAAAAUGGGAGACGAGGAUUCACGUGAUGGGUGUUGAUUUAUUACUUAAUUCUUCUCUAACGAUUAAUCAAUCGCUCGGUUCAAGUGACAAACCUACCAUUGGACCACAGCACUUGAGACGACAAAACUUCAGACCUCAAAACAAUUUUAUCAGUUCUCAGAUUUUCCAUGGCCAUCUUCAGUCGCAGAAAAGUUCCCUAGCUAGCAUCAAGUGCUGGAGUACGUUGAGGCUUAUGCCCAUUAUUUUGACUUGCUUCGGCAUGUCAGAUUCAAUGCCAAAGUUGUUAGCAUUGACUUCGAAGGGCCAACAGAUGAAGAGAUGCGCUCUUGGCAUCUCUGGGGUGGGACUGAUGAGCCCCUCAGCUCCAAAGGAAACUGGAAUGUUGCAGUACAGGCCACCCAGAAUCAUUCUACAGAGGUAUGUAAUUAAGUUUAUAAUCAUAAAGCUCAACAAGAACAAAGUGAAUGAGAAAAAAGAUGAUGUCAUGCCUUGGAUGAAUUUUCUUUUAAAUGUGAAAUUCAGGUUUACCAGGUGGACUUUGUAGUCCUCGGCCUAGGCCGGUUCAGCGGCAUUCCAAACAUUCCAUCGUUUCCUCCAGGAAAAGGGCCAGAAACCUUUCACGGUGAGGUAAUACACUCCAUGGAUUAUGCUGCCAUGGAUUACAAACUUGCUGCUAAAUGCAUCAAAGGGAAGCGAAUUGUUGUAUUUGGACUCCAGAAAUCUGCCUUGGACAUCGCAAUGGAAUAUUCUACAGCAAAUGGUAAGAUUACAAAGUUUCUUUAGUUCUAAGAUGUACGCAAAACACACAGGGUUGGAUUUUCUGACAUGAAGUUUCAAUCUAAUCCUGUUUCCAGGCGUAGAACUUCCUUGUACAGUAUUAUACAAGACCGAACGUUGGAGCGUUCCCAAUUACCUUCCAUGGGGAGUGCCGCUAGCUUAUUUAUACCUCAAUCGCUUCUCAGAGCUUUUGGUUCAUAAGCCUGGUGAAGGCUUCCUCCUCAGUUCAUUGGCAACAAUUCUUUCACCUCUGGUAACUAAUAAAAUUUCUUAUCUAAAGCACAUCUUGAGCACCUUCAGGAAAUUAACCGCAGCAGACUGAAAUCGGUUCUAUUAACUGCAGCAGACUGAAAUCGGUUCCUUGCUAUUAAACAGAGAUGGGUACUCUCAAAAUUCGUCGAGAAUUAUAUCAAAUGGAAACUGCCUUUGGCAAGGGUUGGGAUGGUACCAAAGCACAGCUUUCAUCAAGAAAUUAGCUCCUGUUUGACCUCAACAGUGCCAAAAAACUUCUAUGACAGAGUUGAGGAAGGAAGCAUCUUACCGAAGAAGACCCAAAAUAUAAACUUCAUGAAGAAGGCAUAAUGGUAGAUGACGAAGAUUCACCUCUAAAGACAGAUUUGGUGAUACUGGCUACUGGAUUCAGGAGAGAUAAGAAGCCUAGAGACAUUGUUGCGUCCCCCACUUUUCCAGACUGCAUGGCCUGCACACCUGAAGCAAGAGUUCCAAUAUACAGGCUGAGAAUCUUAACUAGCUACAUGUUCAAACAAUAGUUUCAUCAAAUUAAACCGGUAACCAGAAAAAAGAAUAAAGAUUAUGAGAACUAACUCAUAUCUCUUCAAACAAGAUGGAUUUCUAGGAGCAAUGAAGCUUGAUGAUAGGAAAAUGGCAAGAAAUCGGCUCUCGGCUACUAACGAGAAAUGGAGUAGCGAAGCACUUUUCCCUCAAAGGUGGUGGACAAGACAAAGUGAAAAUGAGCUUCCAUCCCCCUUUUUCUUUGUUAUGGGCGGACCUCUCGAGGCAAAAGCCUUGAAAUGACUUUCAUUUUUCAUUUUCUCAUACGUGCGCGGAUUGCCCAAAGUCACUUUCUUUUUCUAUUCUUUUUUUUAUCACAUGUCAUUUUAUGCAAUCCCUUACUUUGUUAUUAACGUUACUUUUCAGAGUGGCAUGUGCAUGUAAUAUUGUCUUAUCUAUUCUUUUUAUCUUUGGUUAGAUUGUCUUAUCUAUGCAUUGUUCCAUAUGGUAUUUUUUUUGAAUUAUUUCAUUUACAUUUUAUUUCACAUGUAUUUUAUUUUCAUUUUCUUUUAAUACCAUCUUAUCAUCCAAUAAUAUUUCAUACACAUUUCCUUUGUUAAUAGCCUUUGCCAUCCCAUGAACCAAUAAAACUUCAUGCAUUUAUUUCUUAUUUGGCCUCCCUCACAACCAAUAGAAUUUCAUGCACUUUUUAAUUUAUUUCUUUUAUUCUUAAUCCUUUUUCUACUAGCAUGUGUAACUACUCAAAUUUCAUGCAUAUCUUUUUUUUAAUAAAAUAUUAUUUAUUCUUCUUCUCUUUAUCAUCUUUUAUAGGAUAGGGGUCUCAUAUGUCCCUCACUAAACUUUAUAUUUACGUACAAUUAUUUAUAUGUAAUUGUAACUUCACGUGAUAGAAAUUUUAUAUGUCUUUCAUUAAAAAUUAUUUUUUAGAGAGAAAAAAGUAUGAUGGUUCUAGAACUACUUAAAAGUAUUAUGGUCACCGACAAGAUUAAAAGAAAUUUUUCUUAAUUAACCAUGCAUGUGUGCAUGACUUAUUUUAUUAUAUAUUAAAAUACCCCAUUUAAUGAUUCUUAACAGGGGUACUUAACAUUUGCCUUGCCAGUAUCAGUAGCUAGCACUACUAGCACUGCUCCAGAGCAGAGUUAUUUAAUAUUUUAUUAACCAAAAAUCAAAGUUAAAGUUCUGCAUUGAAUAAAGUGAUUAAAGGAAAGUAGAUUCAAUUGACCUUGGAUCUUGCAAAAUAAAAAAAUCGAUUUCUUUUCCAAUGCAAGAUUCACUGAAGGACACAAAAGGAAUUAUGCUAGAAAGAAUUACCACUAAUGAUCUGAGUUAAAUAUUUCAAUGCAUUGAAAGUAAUAAAAUAUAUAUUUAUANAUUUCAUGCAUAUCUUUUUUUUAAUAAAAUAUUAUUUAUUCUUCUUCUCUUUAUCAUCUUUUAUAGGAUAGGGGUCUCAUAUGUCCCUCACUAAACUUUAUAUUUACGUACAAUUAUUUAUAUGUAAUUGUAACUUCACGUGAUAGAAAUUUUAUAUGUCUUUCAUUAAAAAUUAUUUUUUAGAGAGAAAAAAGUAUGAUGGUUCUAGAACUACUUAAAAGUAUUAUGGUCACCGACAAGAUUAAAAGAAAUUUUUCUUAAUUAACCAUGCAUGUGUGCAUGACUUAUUUUAUUAUAUAUUAAAAUACCCCAUUUAAUGAUUCUUAACAGGGGUACUUAACAUUUGCCUUGCCAGUAUCAGUAGCUAGCACUACUAGCACUGCUCCAGAGCAGAGUUAUUUAAUAUUUUAUUAACCAAAAAUCAAAGUUAAAGUUCUGCAUUGAAUAAAGUGAUUAAAGGAAAGUAGAUUCAAUUGACCUUGGAUCUUGCAAAAUAAAAAAAUCGAUUUCUUUUCCAAUGCAAGAUUCACUGAAGGACACAAAAGGAAUUAUGCUAGAAAGAAUUACCACUAAUGAUCUGAGUUAAAUAUUUCAAUGCAUUGAAAGUAAUAAAAUAUAUAUUUAUAUAUAUAUAUAUAUUCUAACCUAUAUUCUACCUAGAUACUUUAUUUACAUCUAAUACCUUAAAAGUAAUUUUUUUUUAAUUUUUGGAUUUUUCAUUUCUUUUCUCUUUUAAGUGCUCGAGAGACAUUAUUGAGUUCUCUGGAUGACUGGAUGGAUGAGAUUUUCAGUCAUUUCAGACACCAGAACCGACAGCAAACUCAAGACUCUUGCUAGACAUUUCCAAAGCUUCCCUCCCAAACUGUUGAAAACCAAAACUUCUAUAUUCGAUUUCAUCAAAACCCCAAACAACAGACACAAACUACAUUUCUUCUCUCUUUCUAUUUCUCUCCCCGUUCUUCUUAUCAUUUUGACAAUGUGCAGGGAAAGCUUCACAUUACUCAGGUACAUUCUCCUGGUUUAGAAAUUACAAGUUAAAUAAAAGAGGAAAUUUGAUUCGAUUUUUUGAAUUUUGGUUUAUGUUGGAAUUUUAAUUUUUUAUAAAAAUAAUAAUUAAUGUAGCGGUAAUGUUGACUGUAGUUUAAAUGCUUGCUUUGAGGUUGUGACCCUUCUUUAGUGGAGUGAUUGUCUGUAUGGAAUGGAAUGAAGUUGAACCAUUUACUUAGCAUAUGUUGGUCUAUGGUUUGGUAGAGUUUAGGCUUUGUUCUCUGAAUUGCAUGGUUGCUGAGAUUGCAUGUGUGUUUUGAUGGUUCUACAUUUUUUUCCUGGGGUUAGAUAUUUCGCUUACAGUUUGCUAGUUGUUUUUUCAGCUCAUUUUGUGCUUUGAUUUCUUCUUUUCUUUGUUGGUUACAGCUUUUUAUAUUUAUUUAUGUUUCUAAAUUGUAAACCAUUGGGGUUGGCACUGGCAUAUCUAUUUCUAUCUGAAUUUUUGGAUGAUUUGUCAACAAGGUCAUUAUAUGUUUUAACACAAUAUUGCAUAUUUACUGUUUUUUCUCAUAAAAUAUUGUUAAUAUCUCUAACAACAUUUAUCUAUGCAUUGUUGUUAACAAUUACUUUAUUGCUCAAUUCAUAGAUGAAAUAUAUUAUCAAAUUAUUUAACUAUUCAAAAUAAUUUUUAAGCUAUACGUGUCAAACAGUAACUCCCGCAGGAUAGCGCGGGUGAGUGACUAGUUUGUAAUGCAUAUGAUGGAUGCAGCUCCAGUUAUGCUCCUGUUGGUGUUCACGGGGAUAGUUUAUUUAUUUGAUUCCUGAAGAUCUUGGGCAGAGUGCUAUAUAGAGAGAGAGGCAAAAAGGCAGGCAAUAUCGAUAGAGUAUCGGACAAUUUGGCAAUGGAGAGGCAGGUGGCCAUCGUUGGAUCUGGUAUAAGUGGCCUCCUUGCCUGUAAGUACACCUUGUCGAAAGGUUUCCAUCCAAUUGUUUUCGAGUCCCAAAGGAGCGUCGGAGGGGUAUGGACCCAAACGCUGGAGACUACAAGGCUCCAAACUCCCAAGUCAGUUUAUCAGUUCUCAGAUUUUCCUUGGCCAUCUUCAGUCACAGAUGAUUUUCCUAACCAACACGAUGUCUUCGAUUAUGUUAAGGCGUAUGCACAACAUUUUGACUUGCUUAAGCACAUCAAAUUCAACACCAAAGUUGCUGGUAUUGACUAUGAGGGCCCCCCUGAUGAAGAGAUGCGAUCUUGGAGUUUAUGGGGUGGCACUGGUGAGCCCUUUAGCUCCAAAGGGAAAUGGAAGGUCAUCGUGGAAGACUUGGAAAGCCUUUCAACUGAGGUAUGAGAAUCUUUCUCAUCAUAAUUCAGGGGAUAAAUAGUGAUUUAUAUGACAAAAAAAAAGUUAUCAUAAUUCUGAGACUUGUGAAAUUCAUUGCAGAUUUACCUAGUGGACUUUGUAAUCAUUUGUGUGGGGCGGUUCAGUGGUCUGCCAAACAUUCCAGAAUUCCCCCCAAACAAGGGCCCGGAAGCAUUUCGUGGUAAGGUAAUACAUUCCAUGGACUAUGCUGCCAUGGAUAAUGAAAAGGCUGCUGAGUUCAUCAAAGGCAAACGAGUCAUUGUCGUUGGGUUCCAGAAAUCUGCUUUGGACAUUGCAAUGGAGUGCACUUUUGCAAAUGGUAAUUAGAAUUUAAUCUGAACUGCUGGAAUUCAUAGUUCUUUCUACAUUAGACCAAGAGAAGUUUGCUCUUACCUCUUCGAGAACCGAUAAAUCUUGUGGACUUCAUAUGGAAAGGAACUUGUGAUCAUGUCUCAAUGUGUUUGGUAUCAUUACAAGGAAAUAAAAUUUCUUUAAAUUUCAUUGAUUUACAGGGGUGGAAAAUCCAUGCACAGUUUUCUACAGGACUGCACACUGGAAUGUCCCGGAUUAUCUUCCCUGGGGAUUUCAACUUGGAUAUAUGUAUUUUAACCGGUUCUCAGAACUAAUGGUUCAUAAGCCUGGUGAAGGGCUUCUACUUGGUCUCUUAGCUACAAUUCUGGCACCGCUGGUAACAUUUCUCAUCAUUCUUUUCACCUUGCUAUGUUCUGUUUUACUUUUGAUCAAUGAGCAAUGUGCUUGCUCAGAAGCAAACGACAGUUUAUCUGUGAUUUCUAUAUUUGGAUGGAACCUGCAAACAUCAGAUGACACCAUCCGUUUAUUUUCCUCACUCCUAUUGUUUCUUCCACUGAUUACUUGUAAUUAAAAAACAGAGAUGGUCAUAUUCAAAAUUUGUUGAAAGUGAUAUCAAAAGGAAGCUACGUUUAGCAAAGCAUGGCAUGGUACCCACCCAUAGCUUCCUCCAUGAUAUCAGUUCUUGCUUAAUCUCAACGGUCCCAGAAAAAUUCUAUGACAAAGUUGAAGAAGGAAAAAUCAAACUGAAAAAGGCUCCCGGCUUUUGUUUCUGUCACAAUGGCGUUCUGGUGGAAGGUGAGGCUACACCUGUUGGGGCAGACGUGGUCAUCUUGGCCACUGGAUUCAAGGGGGAGAAAAAGCUCAGAGACAUUUUCGUGUCCCAAACCUUUCAGGACUACAUAGCUGGAUCACCUGAUGCUGCAAUGCCACUCUACAGGUUAAUUUUUUUCUUUGGGCAGCCAAGGAACGAUUGUUCUGUAAUUACUUUGAUCGAUUCUAAUUAAAUUUCUCGUUUGAUCACUGAUCAGGGAGUGCAUUCAACCUCAUAUACCCGAACUAGCUGUGAUAGGAUUCUCUGAGAGUGUGUCGAAUUUGUACAUCUCAGAGAUGAGAUGCCGAUGGCUAGCAGAACUUCUUGAUGGCACAUUCAAGCUGCCUAGCAUCAAAGAGAUGGAAAAAGAUGUGACAAAAUGGGAUGAAUACCGGAAACGAUACUCGGGUAAAAACUAUCAUAGAAAAUGCAUUGCUGCUCUUCAUGUUUGGUAUAAUGAUCAACUCUGCAAAGAUAUGGGAUGGAACCCCAGGCGGAAGAAGGGAUUCUUUGCUGAACUUUUUGAGCCUUAUGGUCCCUUGGAUUAUGUCCCCUCUUCAGCUGCC